rnacentral:rRNA from 1 species
UACGUAGGGGGCAAGCGUUGUCCGGAAUUAUUGGGCGUAAAGAGCGCGUAGGCGGUCCGGUAAGUCGGUUGUGAAAGUCGGGGGCUCAACCCUCGGAUGCCGAUCGAUACUGUCGGGCUAGAGUCCGGAAGAGGCGAGUGGAAUUCCUGGUGUAGCGGUGAAAUGCGCAGAUAUCGGGAGGAACACCUAUGGCGAAGGCAGCUCGCUGGGACGUUACUGACGCUGAGACGCGAAAGCGUGGGGAGCAAACAGG